CUUCUGGGAGCUAAAUUGGUGUCAGGCCGCCGGGAGGCACGGCUGGUGCUGCUUCUUUCGCCUGCGGGCCCUGUCUAUUUCGACUGAGUCCCUGAGGAAGAGGACGUGGCUUGGGCAGAUGGCCCUGCCUCCCGCCCUGUUAGCAGUGGGACUGUAAGCACUUCAAAGCCGGAUCAUCGUGUCGUCCACAGCAUUAAGGUACCUACGGCAUUCCUUAUCGAUUAAUAUCUCCAGUACUUUCUAUGUGAGCUGUACUAUGUCAUCAUUGCACCAAUUCCAUGAAAGAACAUAUUUCCGUGUCUUUCAUCUUUAUAAGAGAUGUGGGUUUUUAUUCUUCCCCAGAAAGCUCUUGAGAAAAAAAAACUCUAAGUCCUCAAUUAUUUUCAUUUAGAGAACAUGAUAUCCUAUUGAGUAUAAAAUAAUUUUGUGUGUUAAGCAGUUUUGCUUGGAUAUGUUUGCUUAAUCAUCUUAGUUGCUUUUCGUGUAUUUCCCAACAUACUGUCAUACAGAGGAUGAGAAGAAUCUGGCAGGUAAGAGGGCAGUUCGAGACUGUUCUGCAAAGAAAUGCCUCGCCACCAUGUUGUAGGAGUGAAGAUUUAUGCUUGCAGAAUUUCAUGUUUGUCAGACCAAAUACAUGAAAGUGUUCUGUGGGCGGCAACAUUUGAAUGACCUUUAUAGUACCAGUCUAAUAGUAGCUGCUUUAAAUCCUUUUAGGAAGUGGACAAAUUCUAAAUUAAAAUUCUAAAGGAAUUAAUGUUUUAAUACAGUAAUACAUUGGCUUAUCAAAUUACAUUUUCUUUUCUUUGGGGGGGGUACUGGGGAUCGAACUCGGGAACUUGUGCUUGUGAGGCAGGCACCAGAACCACUGAGCUAAAUUUCCAGCCCAAUAUUAGAACACCAGACACAUUUCCCAUAUGUCUUUUUUUUGGUACCGGGGAUCAAACUCGGGUCCUUGCGCUUGCGCUUGCGCAGCAGGCGGCAGAAACCACUGAGCUAAAUCCCCGGCCCCCUCGAAUUACAUUUUCAAUCUCAGAAUUAAGGAUACAGAGCCACAUCAUAAACAGAGCUACCAAAAUGUAGUGUCUUGCAUCUUCAUAUAUACCAUGUAUUUUAAGUACAUUUAGAAUCCCAAAAACAACUUUUUUAGCUUAGCUAUUUGAUGUGGAAUAUCUAACCAAAACGUGCAGUGAGAUUCUAUUAAAGUGGCUGCUUGCUGUCUCAUCACACAUAAAAAUCUAAUGAAUGCACUGUUUUCAGAAAUCAUUUAGAAAAAAAGGUCUAGAUGAUAAAGUUAAAAAGCCCAUAUGCUUUUUGAAAAUAAGUAAUUUGGUGUGGGGUAAUAAGCUUUUUAUAGGAGUAUAUUAGCCUUGCUAAGGGGAUAGAAGUGGAGAAAGGUUGUCAAUGCAUAAUUUAGAAACCCCAAAGGAUGAGGCACUGUCAAGUUUCCUAAGCUAUACCUGAAUGACAUUGUUUUGGGGCACUACUUUAAGAGGAGUGAAAAUAUAACCUAAUAAAUUCAAAAAACAAAACCUGCUAUCCAGAAUGUUUUUUUUUUCUAACAGACUACUACAAUGUAUGAAUCAUCACCCUGGCUUUUAAGAAAAUGUUUAAAUAAGG
ensembl:lncRNA